GAUCAUGGCUCAGAUUGAACGCUGGCGGCAGGCCUAACACAUGCAAGUCGAGCGGUAACAGAUCCAGCUUGCUGGAUGCUGACGAGCGGCGGACGGGUGAGUAAUGCAUAGGAAUCUGCCCGAUAGUGGGGGAUAACCUGGGGAAACCCAGGCUAAUACCGCAUACGUCCUACGGGAGAAAGGGGGCUCCGGCUCCCGCUAUGGGAUGAGCCUAUGUCGGAUUAGCUAGUUGGUGAGGUAACGGCUCACCAAGGCCACGAUCCGUAGCUGGUCUGAGAGGAUGAUCAGCCACAUCGGGACUGAGACACGGCCCGAACUCCUACGGGAGGCAGCAGUGGGGAAUAUUGGACAAUGGGGGAAACCCUGAUCCAGCCAUGCCGCGUGUGUGAAGAAGGCCCUCGGGUUGUAAAGCACUUUCAGCGAGGAAGAACGCCUAGCGGUUAAUACCCGCUAGGAAAGACAUCACUCGCAGAAGAAGCACCGGCUAACUCCGUGC
rnacentral:rRNA from 1 species